rnacentral:rRNA from 1 species
UUUAGGCGGAUUUUUGAUGGGAAGCAAGUAAUGGAGAUAAUGAAAGUUAGAGAACUUGGCGGUACAUAAUCUACUUUGAGGAACCUGUUUAGUAAUAGAUAUUACACAAUAAAAUUUACGUUAGUUGGUAAGUAAAGUCAAUUUAUAUAUCGCUGUCGAGUUAGUUUUUUUUUGAGGUAUAAAUUUAAAUAUUAUGGUUUAUUUAAUAGGAAAUCAAGUAAAGAUGUAGAUGAUACUAACGAGUAUAAUGGGUUACUUUAUUAAAAUGAAUAUUAUACGGAGUUUUAUUAUGAAAAUUUUUAUGAAGUUGGAUUAAAAAGUAAUAGUAAAUUAGAAAGUUAUUAUGAAAUUGUAGCUCUUAUGUGU